rnacentral:tRNA from 1 species
GGGUUGUGGCUCAGCGGCAAAGCGCUCGCGUCGCACGUGCAAGACCCUGGGUUCGAUCCUCAGCCUCA